UACGUAGGGGGCAAGCGUUGUCCGGAAUCAUUGGGCGUAAAGGGCGCGUAGGCGGAUGAUUAAGUCUGUUGUGAAAACCUGGGGCUCAACCCCGGGAUUGCAUCGGAAACUGGUUAUCUUGAGGACAGGAGAGGAAAGUGGAAUUCCACGUGUAGCGGUGAAAUGCGUAGAUAUGUGGAGGAACACCAGUGGCGAAGGCGACUUUCUGGACUGUAACUGACGCUGAGGCGCGAAAAGCGUGGGGGAGCGAAACAGGAUUG
rnacentral:rRNA from 1 species